rnacentral:rRNA from 1 species
AUUGAACGCUGGCGGCAGUCCUAACACAUGCAAGUCGAACGAGUGGCGGACGGGUGAGUAAUGUCUGGGAAACUGCCUGAUGGAGGGGGAUAACUACUGGCAACGGUAGCUAAUACCGCAUACCAUCAGAUGUGCCCAGAUGGGAUUAGCUUGUUGGUGGGGUCACGGCUCACCAAGGCGACGAUCCCUAGCUGGUCUGAGAGGAUGACAAGACAAACUGAAACAGAGAAACGGUCCAGACUCCGACGGGAGGCAGCAGGGGGGAAUAUUGCACAAUGGGCGCAAGCUUGAGGCAGCCAUGCCGAGUGUAUGAAGAGGGCCGUCGGGUUGUAAAGUACUUUCAGCGGGGAGGCGUUACCCGCAGAAGAAGCACCGGCUAACUCCGUGCCAGCAGCCGCGGUAAUAC